rnacentral:lncRNA from 1 species
AAAACCUGGGUUUAAGGCGAGGUCCCUAGAGUCACGGAUCGUAUCUAGAACCUCCCCACAAUAAUGGGCUAUCCAUAUUGUGAUGGAAACUCCAAACAAAUCUACUCUAGGUGGAGUCUUCGUAUUAUCCCAAUGAGGUGUACACCCCUCAGUUCAAUACUACGCAACUCCGGGUUCUAAGUUCUUUCUCGAAGCUCGGGUAUGGAGCUUAUC